GAGGUGCAGGAGCACGCCGAGUGACCGCAGGACCUGAGCGCCGCUCCACCCUCCACGGGGACCCCAGCGUCUUCCCCAGCCCCCGGGAGCUGGAGGGUGGCUGCCACGGCCGCAGCCCCGGCCCCACACAAAAGCCUCCCCGAAUGAGGAGGUCUUCACGGAUGCCUUUGCCGAUUCCAGCCCUUGGUCCUUGGAUAGAUUUCUGUUGGGCAAGGGAGACUUUGAGAAUGCUGGCACCCAUAGCAACAUCUACCCUGAGCUGCUCAGCAGGCAGCAGCCUCCCGCACCCAUGGGAGAGAGUUUUGUUUUCUUGGCCGGGCUGGGCAGGCCGCUGUUCUCCCAAGCUUGGGGCCAUGCUGUGCCACUGUCACCAGAGCCAGCUGCAGCACUGGGGCAGCCACUGUCGCCGGACUUGGGGAAGCCCAGGGUGAAGACAGUCGCUCAUCCGUGCAAGCUCUCCCGAAGGGAUGCGAGCUCUCCAGAAGGGGUGCAAGCUCUCCAGAAGGUGUGUGAUCUCUGAGCAGUGGGGAGUGGAGUCACCACUCGGGACAUAGAGGGUGGACAGUUCAGGCCUGUGUCUGCCUCCUUGGGACUGUGGAGUGGGUGCCCUCAGUAAAGCGCUUUGUUGGAAUGGU
rnacentral:sRNA from 1 species